GUGGUGAUGAGCAACUUCUUUGUGGACUAGGGUUUCUGAUAACACUACGCAGUGUUUGAUGACCAAACCCUUUGGUUGUCUGAGCUCCUCUUUUUGGUCUAUCACAAUGGUUAUUUUUGUUUCUAUUGUUUUUUUUUAUUUCCAACAAGCGCUUUGAUAUGGGAGUGAUGAAGAACAAUUUUUAUUUGGACUAGAGUUUCUGAUACUGCUACUUUGUGGUAUUGGUUUUUACAUCAGGUUGUUGUUUAGACGCGUCCAUUACCAAUUCUGGAGGAUACUGUUCCUCACGGUGUAAUGGCUCGGACGCUAGAUGAUAUUCUUUGAUGUGUGGUCAUAUCCUGAUUGUUGGUGUUCUUGGUGCCAUUCUAAUCCUGGAAACGCCACAUAUAUUUGCAGUCUUCUUUUUCAUGCAAAUUUUAUCCCUUUGUAAGGGAUAUACAUGAUGCAAAAAAUUUUUGUGCCCAAUCUGUUGAUUUUUCUGUACUGUGACUAUUCUUUUAUAUUGAUAUAUUGAAUAGGAACAUCUGGUAGAUUCCUCCCUAAAACUUUUUUUUCUUCAAGUUUUAUGUAGUACGUCUUGCUAAUUUCAUUGCAUUGCCUUCCUUUCAAGGUGAAUGAUGAAAUCACAAGUAAAUACAGUUAUCCCUGUCUGAUUCCUUUCUAAGGGUGCUGAGAAUACUUAAAUCUGACACAUUAAUUCUUAUACAACUUCUUUUAUGCUUUUUUGGCUGAUUAAGUUAUUUUUUUGUGUUUGUGGAUUGUUGGAUCUUGGCCAACACAUGAUAAGGUUUCAGAAUUAGCAUACAGUUGUUGUUUCUGGAGCUUUGUUGAUACUAAUUAUGAACUAGGAUGGUCUGAGGCUGUUCGCAACGCAACAAAUAUGC
rnacentral:sRNA from 1 species